UACGGGGGGGGCAAGCGUUGUUCGGAAUUACUGGGCGUAAAGGGCUCGUAGGCGGCCAACUAAGUCAGACGUGAAAUCCCUCGGUUUAACCGAGGAACUGCCCUCCAAACUGCUUCGCUUGAGACCGGGAGAGGUGAGUGGAAUUCCCAGUGUAGCGGUGAAAUGCGUAGAUAUUGGGAGGAACACCAGUGGCGAAGGCGGCUCACUGGACCGGUACUGACGCUGAUGCGCGAAAGCGUGGGGAGCAAACGGG
rnacentral:rRNA from 1 species